UACCUUAUCAUUUGUGCAGAGAAUCCUGAAAGCAACCUCUUGUAAUGGCAUUUUUGAAUCACUGCUGGAAAACUUGUCAGCAUCUAGUGGCACAGAAUGACAUCCAGAGGCACCUGAGAAAGAGCUUGUGGUUAUUGGCUGUGACAUUGAACUUCUUUGUGCAGGUAGAUCAACUGGCUCAGGGGGCAAAGUCUUCUCUGAAUCUAACUCAAUUGGUGCAUUUUCAACCGUUCGAGUCCUUUCAACAGAGAAACAAUCUUGAAGACGGCGACUGACAGCAACAAGCGCUUUCUUGACAGCCAGAAUAUCCCCUUCUAUCUCGACAAUUUCAUCAUUGGGCGAAGCACAACUUGGCAUCUUCCCUGAAGUUAAUACCUUAAUCCUACAUCCAUUUUCUCUUCUUAUUGUAUCUAUUACUUUUCCACCUUUGCCCAUCAAAGCCCCCACUUGAUUCCCCUUUACUAAUAACCUACAGGACACAACAUUCUCCACACCCAAAACUAGUCCAUUAUUUUCCGCUGUUACUUCUAUAACUCUCUCAAAAACCCUAACAAGUGCUUCUUGUGCAGCCGAAACCUCUAUUUCAUCAAUUUCUUCAUUACGCUGGUUAUCCCCAAUGGGGCCCAGUAGCCUUAUCCUCUUGUUUACUGAAGCAGGGGCUACUACUACAAUGAGUCGAUUGUGGUCGUUUGGUGCGGACACAUCAAUGUGAAUCUUAGCGGAGGUGUCUUGUUGUAG
rnacentral:misc_RNA from 1 species